UACAGAGGUGCUCAAGCGUUGUUUCGGGAUUCAUUGGGCGUAAAGGGUGCGUAGGCUGGCGCGGUAAGUCGGGUGUGAAAUCUCGGAGCUUAACUCCGAAACUGCAUUCGAUACUGCCGUGCUUGAGGACUGGAGAGGAGACUGGAAUUUACGGUGUAGCGGUGAAGUGCGUAGAUAUCGUAAGGAACAUCAGUGGCGAAAGCGGCUUCCUGGUCCAGCACCGACGUUCAGGCACGAAAGCGUGGGGAGCAAACAGG
rnacentral:rRNA from 1 species